UUCAGAGACUCUUGCUUUAUUACCUCAGUUCUUCCGAUGCCUUAAUUGAGAAGUAAUAAAUGCUGCCAGUCAUUUGGAGCAUUCCCUCAAUUAGUACCGCUAUCAAUAUGUAAUCAUCAAACACGUGUUAAAAAAUAAAUAGAAAAUACAAAUCCUCAAGGGAAGGGAUGGAAAAAAAAAUUAGGGGAAAAGGCAAGGUCACUCAAUUUGGACCUGGCCAUUUGUAAUUACAUUUGCGUAGGGAAGGCAACUACUACAAGCAAACCACCCAACUCCACCAAAUAUUUGGAAAAAUUUACUGGAAAUGUAUACAAAAUCGAUGGUUAUCUCUCUAAGUAGACUUCUGUUGAUCCUCAUGAAUUGCAGAAGAAAUCCAAUCUGAAGUUGUUACAUGAAUGUCUGGCUCAAUACAUGGAGAAAGCGAUAGGGGAAUUAUGGCAACCUGGUGUUCAAAUUAAAACAAAGAGGCACUAAAUUAAUUCAAUGUUCAGAGAGAAAAGGCAAAAACAGCUCUUCAAAAACCUAUCUCCAAUUUAUAAGUCAAAUCUACUAGUUGAAGCAUUCAAAAAGAAUUUAGCCCCUGAUGCUCGAGUCUUUUUGUUCAAGACCUUAUCACUUGUAAGCCUUUUAUCUAGUGCGUGAAUAAUCUACCAAGUGUAAACCAUCAUCAAAAUUCCAAGAAUGAAAACAAAAAUAUUGAGCUCAUCCCAAUUACAACUGUUGCUAUGAUGAUGGCUUCCACACCAGUAAAAGCCACAGGCUUGUAGAUGGACCCAUCCCUCAAAUGAAUAUAUAAUGCAAGAAACCAUUGGUCAAAUUGGUGGAUUUGCAAUUUCAAAAAUGAACAGGAAACCCUUUAAUAGCAAAAGUACAGUGUUUCAACUUACAAAUCCAUUUUCAAGUGCUCUGAAAUCCAGAUCCUCAUCAGAAUCUUCCUGCUCCUUGUCCAGAAACUCUAGACGAAAAUACUUUUUCACACGAUUAGUAUCAGAUUUUCCUGAAGCCCCAACUGAUUCAAUUUCAACAUUCUUCCUUUGUGUGGUCAGACGGCGAGCUGCACCAGCAGCAGAAGCGUCUCGACUAAGUUGUGCAAGCUGAAUGCCAAGACUUUGUUGGUUAGACAUAAAAUGUCCAGUAGAAGGAUGCCGGUUGGCUGAAACAGCUAGCCAGCUAGGCGAGGAUCUCCACAUACUUUGUUUAGUCAGUUUGAAACCCUGCCAAGUAAGCAAACAUGCCAAGCCAAAAAGAGAGAAAAUGUAGAGUAUUAGCUGAAAGUUAUGUCACAAAAAAUGAAGAGAUAGCAACAUCCAGUAAGUUGUACAGUAUAAAGCUUCAAUACUCCAAAGUGCAGCCAAAUAAGCAUAAAGAGAGAGAAAGCACCAAUGCCUUUAAUUUAAAUCCAUCACUAGCAUGCCAAUGAAAAUGCAGUGCUCACACAAAAGAAGUUAAAAAUUAUCAACGGCGAUGAGGUAAAACUAGACCCAGUCAGGGGCAAGUUCAGGCCCUGAACUGGACUGAAACUGGCCUUGAACCUAUCUAGCCCCCUCUCCCAACCCUAAACCGGAUUUUUUUUCUUUUAAAGACAACGUAGCAGAUCGAACCUGAUCCAACCACUCAAAACAGGAACCAGAACCACCAUUGGACCAGACUAGAACCAGCCUUGAACCAUCUUGAACUGGAACCAGUUGGAACUGCCUAAGACCAGUCCAGUUCCAGUUCAUCCCCUUUCUCAACCCUGAACUGACAAUUCCGGUCUCUGAACCAUCCCAGACUCGACCGGUGGCCAAGUCUAGGUAAAACGUCUUGUUAUUUUAUCAUGACAGGCAAAAGGACAAACCUCUUUCACAGAAAUAUGCAAUGAUAUUUGCUUCUGGUAUCAGCAAUUGGAAUCCAUUCAAAAUAAAAAAAUCAAGGGAAGUGGUGCAAGGAUGUGAGAGAGAGAUUAUAAGGUGAAGGGAAAAAAGUUUUUUACUUACACAAGAAUUUAGUGUUUUCAAAUGGUAGACGUUUAGAUCAGGCCAUAAAAUCGGUCAAGGUACUAAGAACAUAGCCUCUAUAAUUACUACCUAAGGAUCAAGUUGAAACACCAAGAGAUCAAAACAUAAACCAAUCUCUAUCAACUCCAGAUAAAUAGCCAAAAGUUUACAUUUUCAGUUUUGUCGUUGUCGAUUACUUUGAAGUUGAAGAGUAAAUAAACUACAAGCCAAGAAACCAAGAAAGGUUCAUGGCAAGUCCUGUAAAAGGCAGAGGAUGGUGAUAAAUAAUCAUAUAUGUUGAAACUUGGACAAAUAUCAACAGACUUUAGCAACAAACUAAAUACUCCCCCAAAGUAUGAGUACAAAACUAUUUAUAUACGAUCACUCAAGCCUCUACAAAAGAUAUAGUUAACUUGAGCCUUGCAAUAUGCUUGCACAAUUAAAGUCAGCAAUCAAACUGCCCAACAGACAGACUGUUGUUGCCCAAAUAACUUGGAUCAAUGAUGGUCAGAAUUGUGCCCUGGAUAAUAGUUAAUUUUCCUGCUGUUGCUAUCUAUAAAAGAGUUCAGCAUUUGCAUAAACAAAAUAUUCAAAUUUUAGCCAUAUAUGCAUGUUUCAAUUCCUAGCUCCACCAUUGAUUUUCAUCCAUCAAUAAGUCCAAAAGUACUCGAACAAUUAACAGAUAAACCUUAAAAGUUAAAACCCAAUUUGUCAAACCUUAUCACUGCCUGCAAUUCAGGAUUAUAAAGUUUUUAUGCUGCCUCUUUGCCUGACAGUACAUCACUUAUGCCAAAUAAUCCUGAUCAUGCCUAACAUAUUAGAAGAGAUAUGCCCACAUGGAUAUUGGAAGUUCAAGGCAUUAAUCAUAUACAAGUUAUUGAAAGGCGCAUCUCAACAUAUAAUCAAGUUACAAAUAGCAUAUUUCCUCAGUGAUUUACUGUCACAGCAUUUUACUCAGCAGUAACGCAUCCAGUUUGCACACCUUCCAGAACACAACUUCUGACUAGCAGGAUUAAAUCUACUUACCUUAAGGUAAAUGAGGCAUAGGCUGAAUGUCAGUAAACAACUGUCCAAUGACAGGAAAAUAUUUGUUUUUGAGCCACUACUAACAUGUAAUACCCUCAGGCCUCAACUGAGAACCUUAAUCAAUGUUCUAAUAAAUGACUACUUGCACUUUGCUUUAAUCGUAUUGCAGUGAGUGAUUAAUUAGAGGAGUUCACAAGCCCUUUGCCUUUGUGUUGGAGUAACCAAUUGUCCUCCACAUCUAAUGUGUCAAGCAUCUACAUAUGGAGUUAUGGACACAAUUUUUGCAAUAAUUACCUAGAUGAUAAAUGUAAUUGCUGCAAAACUUAUAUUUAAAAGGUAAGAAUUUUUGCAACACUCUAGGAUAACCUUAAGCUGCUAAUGAACCAUAUCUGAUGCGUCCCACAUCAGUUUUGCAAAGA
rnacentral:misc_RNA from 1 species